rnacentral:rRNA from 1 species
CAGUAGCCGCGGUAAUACAGAGGGUGCGAGCGUUAAUCGGAUUUACUGGGCGUAAAGCGUGCGUAGGCGGCUUCUUAAGUCGGAUGUGAAAUCCCUGAGCUUAACUUAUGAAUUGCAUUCGAUACUGGGAAGCUAGAGUAUGGGAGAGGAUGGUAGAAUUCCAGGUGUAGCGGUGAAAUGCGUAGAGAUCUGGAGGAAUACCGAUGGCGAAGGCAGCCAUCUGGCCUAAUACUGACGCUGAGGUACGAAAGCAUGGGGAGCAAACAGGAUUAGAUACCCGGGUAGUCCCUGUCUCUUAUAA